GGCUGGUCUAAGUGUAGUGGUGGUUACAACUAAUUGAUCACAACCAGUUAUGGAUUUCUUUGUUCUUUCUCCACUCCCACUGUUUCACUUGACUAGCCUUAA
rnacentral:Y_RNA from 1 species